UGCCCAUCUUCUUCGAGUGUCCCACUCCCUCACGCCUCUACUCUUCUUUUCAUCUUUUUCAUUUUCCUUGCAUCCCUCUGCAAAUCCCACCGAACUCCAUCAUCCACCAAAUUUCCUCCAGCACCAGCCACGCACGCCCACCAUCUUUUGUUUUCCCUUCCACCGAAGCCCAAGCUGCCACGCCGUCCAUCAUUUGCUGCUUGUUCGGUCAACCCUCCCUCCAGCAACGAAGACCCAGCAAGCCCACCGUUGACCCCUGCUCUCCAUCGAAGAAGCCCAGCCCGCGAUCGUCUCCUCCGUCGCCGCAAGACCGCCCCAUCUCCACGGAAGCAGCAACCGUCCACGGCCUUACACGAAGCCAAGUCCUCAGCCCGCGUUUUCAGUCCAGCUCGGCACCAAUCCGAGCAGCCCACGAGGUCAGUUCAGCCCGUGAUUUCCAGUGAGCUUUGUGGCCGUUUUCGGCUCGGCCUGGUCUCCAUUUGGCGUCGCCACUUUGGAGCUUAUUGGCUGCCGUCGCGCUGCCGUCGCCGUAGACUCACUAGCUCAUUAAUCUGGUCUUUAGAUGACGGUGGUGAAGGACCCAAAGCCCAGAGUUUAGGGAGGUGGAGAUUGAAGGCUCGGCGAAUGUGUCUAGCUAGUUGGUCUUAAGAUAGUUCCCCUUUUUGUUGAGCCGAUCUUUUGUAGACAGCCUUGUUUUGUAUAUAAACCUUGUGUGUUUAUAAAAAAAAAAGCUUGUUUUUUUA